rnacentral:tRNA from 1 species
GCGCCUCUAGCUCAGCUGGAUAGAGUAUCGGGCUUCGAACCCGAGGGUCGGGGGUUCGAAUCCCUCGGGGCGCGCCA